rnacentral:rRNA from 1 species
UACGUAGGGCGCAAGCGUUGUCCGGAAUUAUUGGGCGUAAAGAGCUCGUAGGUGGCGUGUCGCGUCUGCCGUGAAAGCCCAUGGCUUAACUCCGGGUCUGCAUUCGAUACGGGCAGGCUAGAGUUCGGUAGGGGAGAUCGGAAUUCCUGGUGUAGCGGUGAAAUGCGCAGAUAUCAGGAGGAACACCGGUGGCGAAGGCGGAUCUCUGGGCCGAUACUGACGCUGAGGAGCGAAAGCGUGGGGAGCGAACAGG